rnacentral:rRNA from 1 species
GACGGGGGGGGGCUAGUGUUAUUCGGAAUGACUAGGCGUAAAGGGCACGUAGGCGGUGAAUCCGGUUGAAAGUGAAAGUCGCCAGCUCAACUGGCGGAAUGCUUUCAAAAACCAAUUCACUUGAGUAAGAUAGAGGAUAGUGGAAUUUCGUGUGUAGAGAUAAAAAUUCACAGAUAUACGAAGGAACACCAAAAGCGAAGGCAGCUUUCUGGGUCUCUACUGACGCUGAGGUGCGAAAGCAUAGGGAGCAAACAGG